GUGGGGAAUAUUGGACAAUGGGCGCAAGCCUGAUCCAGCCAUGCCGCGUGAGUGAUGAAGGUCUUAGGAUUGUAAAGCUCUUUCACCGAUGAAGAUAAUGACGGUAGUCGGAGAAGAAGCCCCGGCUAACUUCGUGCCAGCAGCCGCGGUAAUACGAAGGGGGCUAGCGUUGUUCGGAUUUACUGGGCGUAAAGCGCACGUAGGCGGUUUGUUAAGUCAGAGGUGAAAUCCCGGAGCUCAACUCCGGAACUGCCUUUGAUACUGGCAAGCUAGAGUCCGGAAGAGGUAAGUGGAACUCCUAGUGUAGAGGUGGAAUUCGUAGAUAUUAGGAAGAACACCAGUGGCGAAGGCGGCUUACUGGUCCGGAACUGACGCUGAGGUGCGAAAGCGUGGGGAGCAAACAGGAUUAGAAACCCCUGUAGUCC
rnacentral:rRNA from 1 species